rnacentral:rRNA from 1 species
UACGUAGGGUGCGAGCGUUGUCCGGAAUUACUGGGCGUAAAGAGCUCGUAGGCGGUGUGUCGCGUCGGUCGUGAAAACUUGGGGCUUAACUCUGAGCUUGCGGUCGAUACGGGCAUCACUGGAGUUCGGCAGGGGAGACUGGAAUUCCUGGUGUAGCGGUGAAAUGCGCAGAUAUCAGGAGGAACACCGGUGGCGAAGGCGGGUCUCUGGGCCGAUACUGACGCUGAGGAGCGAAAGCGUGGGGAGCGAACAGG